rnacentral:rRNA from 1 species
AGUCGAGCGGAAGAGAGAAGCUUGCUUCUGUUGUCAGCGGCGGACGGGUGAGUAAUGCCUAGGAAUCUGCCUGGUAGUGGGGGAUAACGUUCGGAAACGGACGCUAAUACCGCAUACGUCCUGCGGGAGAAAGUGGGGGAUCUUCGGACCUUGCGCUAUCAGAUGAGCCUAGGUCGGAUUAGCUAGUUGGUGGGGUAAUGGCUCACCAAGGCGACGAUCCGUAACUGGUCUGAGAGGAUGAUCAGUCACACUGGAACUGAGACACGGUCCAGACUCCUACGGGAGGCAGCAGUGGGGAAUAUUGGACAAUGGGCGAAAGCCUGAUCCAGCCAUGCCGCGUGUGUGAAGAAGGUCUUCGGAUUGUAAAGCACUUUAAGUUGGGAGGAAGGGUUGUAAAUUAAUACUCUGCAGUUUUGACGUUACCGACAGAAUAAGCACCGGCUAACUCUGUGCCAGCAGCCGCGGUAAUACAAAGGGUGCAAGCGUUAAUCGGAAUUACUGGGCGUAAAGCGCGCGUAGGUGGUUUGUUAAGUUGGAUGUGAAAUCCCCGGGCUCAACCUGGGAACUGCAUUCAAAACUGACUGACUAGAGUACGGGUAGAGGGUGGUGGAAUUUCCUGUGUAGCGGUG